UACGGGGGGAGCAAGCGUUGUUCGGAUUUACUGGGCGUAAAGGGCGCGUAGGCGGCGCAACAAGUCACUUGUGAAAUCUCCGGGCUUAACUCGGAACGGCCAAGUGAAACUGUCAAGCUAGAGUGCAGAAGGGGCAAUCGGAAUUCUCGGUGUAGCGGUGAAAUGCGUAGAUAUCGAGAGGAACACCUGCGGCGAAGGCGGGUUGCUGGGCUGACACUGACGCUGAGGCGCGAAAGCUAGGGGAGCGAACGGG
rnacentral:rRNA from 1 species